GGGGCGCUUAAGUGGGCAAUACGCACUUUACUUUGCUGUAGAAAUCAUCCCUGAGAUUCUUUGCUAUAUCUUCAUCAUGUUCAAGAUGAAUUUUUCGGUCAGCCUUAUCGUCGGAUGCCUGAGCUUGAUGAUCAUAGCUACCAUGGUUACGGAGACAGACGCUCAAUCUUCCGAUUCCUGUAUCAACAUUCUGAACUGCUUCACAUGCUUUACCGACUGUAAAGUUCGUGGUUAUGCAUAUGGAGUGUGCAGGCAAAGCGGUUGUCAAUUUGGUUACGCCCGAUGUCAGUGUUAUGACUUCUAACGCACACUGAUAACUAUUCACAAUCUUCAAGUGCAAUGUAUAUUAAGCAAUAACAUUGCUAUUUCAAACAGUUUCCCAACGCAAAUUCAAUAAACCUACAUGAUUGACA